rnacentral:rRNA from 1 species
CUAAGAAUAUUCCGCAAUGGACGAAAGUCUGACGGAGCGACGCCGCGUGGAUGACGAAGGCCGAAAGGUUGUAAAAUCCUUUUGUCGAGGAAGAAUAAGCUGGGGAGGGAAUGCCCUGGUGAUGACAUGAAUCGAUGAAUAAGCCCCGGCUAACUACGUGCCAGCAGCCGCGGUAACACGUAGGGGGCGAGCGUUGUUCGGAAUUACUGGGCGUAAAGGGCAUGUAGGCGGUUCGAUAAGCCUGGCGUGAAAUACUGCAGCUUAACUGCGGCACUGCGUUGGGAACUGUUGGACUAGAGUUAUGGAGAGGGAGCUGGAAUUCCAGGUGUAGGGGUGAAAUCUGUAGAUAUCUGGAAGAACACCAAAGGCGAAGGCAAGCUUCUGGCCAAUAACUGACGCUGAGGUGCGAAAGUGUGGGGAUCAAACAG